GACGAACGCUGGCGGCGUGCUUAACACAUGCAAGUCGAACGGUAAGGCUCCAGCUUGCUGGGGUACACGAGUGGCGAACGGGUGAGUAACACGUGGGUGACCUGCCCUGCACUUCGGGAUAAGCCUGGGAAACUGGGUCUAAUACCGGAUAGGACCGCACCGUGAGGGUGUGGUGGAAAGUUUUUUCGGUGUGGGAUGGGCCCGCGGCCUAUCAGCUUGUUGGUGGGGUAAUGGCCUACCAAGGCGGCGACGGGUAGCCGGCCUGAGAGGGUGGACGGCCACAUUGGGACUGAGACACGGCCCAGACUCCUACGGGAGGCAGCAGUGGGGAAUAUUGCACAAUGGGCGGAAGCCUGAUGCAGCGACGCCGCGUGGGGGAUGACGGCCUUCGGGUUGUAAACUCCUUUCACCAUCGACGAAGGGUUUCUGACGGUAGAUGGAGAAGAAGCACCGGCUAACUACGUGCCAGCAGCCGCGGUAAUACGUAGGGUGCGAGCGUUGUCCGGAAUUACUGGGCGUAAAGAGCUCGUAGGUGGUUUGUCGCGUCGUCUGUGAAAUUCCGGGGCUUAACUCCGGGCGUGCAGGCGAUACGGGCAUAACUUGAGUACUGUAGGGGAGACUGGAAUUCCUGGUGUAGCGGUGAAAUGCGCAGAUAUCAGGAGGAACACCGGUGGCGAAGGCGGGUCUCUGGGCAGUAACUGACGCUGAGGAGCGAAAGCAUGGGGAGCGAACAGGAUUAGAUACCCUGGUAGUCCAUGCCGUAAACGGUGGGCGCUAGGUGUGGGUUUCCUUCCACGGGAUCCGUGCCGUAGCUAACGCAUUAAGCGCCCCGCCUGGGGAGUACGGCCACAAGGCUAAAACUCAAAGGAAUUGACGGGGGCCCGCACAAGCGGCGGAGCAUGUGGAUUAAUUCGAUGCAACGCGAAGAACCUUACCUGGGCUUGACAUAUACAGGAUCGCGCCAGAGAUGGUGUUUCCCUUGUGGCUUGUAUACAGGUGGUGCAUGGUUGUCGUCAGCUCGUGUCGUGAGAUGUUGGGUUAAGUCCCGCAACGAGCGCAACCCUUGUCUUAUGUUGCCAGCACGUUGUGGUGGGGACUCGUAAGAAACUGCCGGGGUUAACUCGGAGGAAGGUGGGGAUGACGUCAAAUCAUCAUGCCCCUUAUGUCCAGGGCUUCACACAUGCUACAAUGGUCGGUACAGUGGGUUGCCAGUCCGUGAGGGCGAGCUAAUCCCGCAAAGCCGGUCUCAGUUCGGAUCGGGGUCUGCAACUCGACCCCGUGAAGUCGGAGUCGCUAGUAAUCGCAGAUCAGCAACGCUGCGGUGAAUACGUUCCCGGGCCU
rnacentral:rRNA from 1 species